rnacentral:rRNA from 1 species
AAAUUGAAGAGUUUGAUCAUGGCUCAGAUUGAACGCUGGCGGCAGGCCUAACACAUGCAAGUCGAACGGUAACAGGAAACAGCUUGCUGUUUCGCUGACGAGUGGCGGACGGGUGAGUAAUGUCUGGGAAACUGCCUGAUGGAGGGGGAUAACUACUGGAAACGGUAGCUAAUACCGCAUAACGUCGCAAGACCAAAGAGGGGGACCUUCGGGCCUCUUGCCAUCGGAUGUGCCCAGAUGGGAUUAGCUUGUUGGUGGGGUAACGGCUCACCAAGGCGACGAUCCCUAGCUGGUCUGAGAGGAUGACCAGCCACACUGGAACUGAGACACGGU